rnacentral:rRNA from 1 species
AUUGAACGCUGGCGGCAGGCCUAACACAUGCAAGUCGAGCGUGAAAGUCCUUCGGGAUGAGUAAAGCGGCGGACGGGUGAGUAACGCGUAGGAAUCUACCUGAUAGUGGGGGAUAACGUCCCGAAAGGGGCGCUAAUACCGCAUACGUUCUGAGGAAGAAAGCAGGGGAUCGCAAGACCUUGCGCUAUCAGAUGAGCCUGCGUCCGAUUAGCUAGUUGGUGGGGUAAAGGCCUACCAAGGCGACGAUCGGUAACUGGUCUGAGAGGAUGAUCAGUCACACUGGAACUGAGACACGGUCCAGACUCCUACGGGAGGCAGCAGUGGGGAAUAUUGGACAAUGGGGGCAAGCCUGAUCCAGCCAUGCCGCGUGUGUGAAGAAGGCUCUAGGGUUGUAAAGCACUUUAAGUUGUGAGGAAGUGACAGUUGUAAAUAAUGACUGUCAUUGACGUUAGCAACAGAAUAAGCACCGGCUAACUCCGUGCCAGCAGCCGCGGUAA